ACAAAUCAAAGGAAACAAAAGAAAAAAAAAGAAAUCGGGAAAAUCACCUUUAAAAUAUACUGCUAUUUGUUCCCUUUUUAUUGAUUUUUUCCAAUCCAGUAUCCCCUUUUUACAAAUUUGUGUUUGGCUUUAUAUAGCCGAAAUAACAAAAAAAUAUAAAAGAAAAAUAUAAAAAAUCUGUCCUCUAAUUCUGUUAUUUUCUUUUUUGUAAUCUAGUUGCUUUUUUUUUUUGCUGUUAUUGCUACUUGUUUGUUUCUAUUUCAGGUGGAUGGCCAGCUAGCAUGGAGGCCUAGUUCGCAUGGAGGAAGCAGCGUACGUGCGCGGAGGGCAGCAGCUGGUGGCUGCUGUUGCUGCUAAGGCUAGUUUUUUUUGUGUUUUAGGCCCUAUUUGGGCUAGAGUGUAUUGGACUAAUUGGGUUAGAUUAGUGGGUUUUUGGUUUUUUUUUUUUCUUAUUGGGCUGGGGUUUAAUUUUUGGGUAAUUCAGGUUUAUUGUAAUUUGGAGUUUAAUUAUAAAUAGACUUUUAUUUUUUAUUUUUUAUUUUUUCAUUUUGUUUUUUUGAUUUUUUUGUGCUUUUGGGCCCAGGCAUAUUUGAGCUUGUAUAGGCAUGAUCCCAAUUAUGAUCAUUUGCGUGUUUUUGGGUGUUGCUUUUAUCCGUACUUGCGAC
rnacentral:lncRNA from 1 species